UAAUAGUGUAUAUUAAAGUUGUUGCAGUUAAAAAGCUCGUAGUUGAAUGUUGGUGUCGAACGAGCGGUCAGCUUCGGCUGUACUGCUCUCUCGACUCCUUCCUUCUGUGGACUACGUCGCACUUUACUGUGUGGCGCUAGGACGCAGAUCGUUUACUGUGAAAAAAUUAGAGUGUUCAAAGCAGGCCGUACGCUUGAAUACAUUAGCAUGGAAUAAUGGAAUAGGACGUCGGGCCUAUUUUGUUGGUUCUAGGACCGUCGUAAUGAUUAAUAGGGACAGUUGGGGCCGUUUAUAUUCCGUAGUCAGAGGUGAAAUUCUUGGAUUUACGGAAGAUAAACUACUGCGAAAGCAUUCGGCAAGGAUGGUUUCGUUAA
rnacentral:rRNA from 1 species